AACGAACGCUGGCGGCAUGCCUAACACAUGCAAGUCGAACGAGACCUUCGGGUCUAGUGGCGCACGGGUGCGUAACGCGUGGGAACCUGCCCUUAGGUUCGGAAUAACUCCCCGAAAGGGGUGCUAAUACCGGAUAAUGUCUUCGGACCAAAGAUUUAUCGCCUUUGGAUGGGCCCGCGUUGGAUUAGCUAGUUGGUAGGGUAAAAGCCUACCAAGGCGACGAUCCAUAGCUGGUCUGAGAGGAUGAUCAGCCACACUGGGACUGAGACACGGCCCAAACCCCGACGGAGGGCGGCAGUGGGGAAUAUGGGACAAUGGGGGAAGGCCGAAUCCAGCCAGGCCGCGGAGGUUUUGAAGGCCUAAGGGUUGUAAAGCUCUUUUACCCGGGAUGAUAAGAACAGUCCCGGGGGAAAAAGCCCCGGCAAACUCCGU
rnacentral:rRNA from 1 species